AGCAUCUAGCAUGCAUGCUCAUUCUCUCCCAACUUGGUUAGGCGUUUUUGCUCCAUCUACAGACUCUUUCAAAACCCAACUUCCAAGUAUAUGCAGUUGGUUUUUCUGGUGCAACGUGAAAAUUUCCAUUCACACCUAUUUUCUGUUACAGACUCUUUCAAAGCCCAACUUGGUUCCCUUUUUAGCUAAUACUAUGAGCUAUUAUUGAUGUACAAAGAUCGAGGAUAUGGUCUUGGGGUCGAAAAACGAGCCUUGUAUUGACGUCCACCUCAAAAGGAUGGAUCGAAGAAAGACCUCUUUCUUAGCUAACUGUUUGCCCUCCAAGUUCACUAUCAUAUAGUAGUUGAAUCAAGCAACG